GAAAUGCGAUAAUUAAUGUGAAUUGCAGAAUUCAGUGAAUCAUCGAGUCAUUGAACGCACAUUGCGCCCCCUGGUAUUCCGGGGGGCAUGCCUGUCCGAGCGUCAUUGCUGCCCUCAAGCACGGCUUGUGUGUUGGGCUUCCGUCCCUGGCAACGGGGACGGGCCCAAAAGGCAGUGGCGGCACCAUGUCUGGUCCUCGAGCGUAUGGGGCUUUGUCACCCGCUCCCGUAGGUCCAGCUGGCAGCUAGCCUCGCAACCAAUCUUUUUAACCAGGUUGACCUCGGAUCAGGUAGGGAUACCCGCUGAACUUAAGC
rnacentral:misc_RNA from 1 species